rnacentral:rRNA from 1 species
AGGUGAGCCAGUACAGGAUGGACCCGCGUCUGAUUAGCUAGUUGGUAAGGUAACGGCUUACCAAGGCGACGAUCAGUAGCCGACCUGAGAGGGUGAUCGGCCACAUUGGAACUGAGACACGGUCCAAACUCCUACGGGAGGCAGCAGUGGGGAAUAUUGCACAAUGGGCGAAAGCCUGAUGCAGCAACGCCGCGUGAGUGAUGAAGGCCUUCGGGUCGUAAAACUCUGUCCUCAAGGAAGAUAAUGACGGUACUUGAGGAGGAAGCCCCGGCUAACUACGUGCCAGCAGCCGCGGUAAUACGUAGGGGGCUAGCGUUAUCCGGAUUUACUGGGCGUAAAGGGUGCGUAGGCGGUCUUUCAAGUCAGGAGUGAAAGGCUACGGCUCAACCGUAGUAAGCUCUUGAAACUGGGAGACUUGAGUGCAGGAGAGGAGAGUGGAAUUCCUAGUGUAGCGGUGAAAUGCGUAGAUAUUAGGAGGAACACCAGUUGCGAAGGCGGCUCUCUGGACUGUAACUGACGCUGAGGCACGAAAGCGUGGGGAGCAAACAGGAUUAGAUACCCUGGUAGUCCACGCUGUAAACGAUGAGUACUAGGUGUCGGGGGUUACCCC